ACCAAGAAACCCAUGUCGUCAAAAUAAACGUUCAUUUCUGGUCGCAAGCUGGGAAUCAAUUUGGCUAUAACCAAAACUGACUCUUUUUUUGAAAGGUGAUUGAAAUUUUGUUUACUUGGGUAGAUUGAGUUUUAUGCUGGACAGGAGGCAGAAUCGCUUGUGCUUGACGUGACACAGCAGGAGCCUUUUGCUUGGUCCUCUGUGAUUUUGCCGUUUCUUUUCCCAGCUUUGGGAUUGGGAGGAUUGCUAUUUGGGUAUGACAUUGAUGCCACUUCUGGUGCUACCAUAUCAUUGCAGUCACUUGAGCUCAGUGGGACAACAUAGUUCAGCCUUUCAUAAUGGUAAUCUGGUACAAGUGUAUUGCUGCCUCAGCUUCUUGGGUAGGUUGGAUAUGGAACGAUGAGAUUUCUUCCCCAUUCCUUAACGUUAGGAUUAGAAGCUUUGACUUAGUUAUGCAUGUUGUGGGGUGGAGCAGCUGCCAAUGUUGGCUGUUUGCUGAUUGCUUUAUCAGAAGUAUAUAAAAAAAAAGAUCCAACGUGGAUUUUAUUCACAUAUUGGAGGCUACAGCAGUGAUUCAAUGCUUUUACUGGUUUUGGGUUGUUGCUGGAAUUUGAUUUAUUUUGCUUUCUUCCACCUAACUCGAGUUUUUCGUGUUGCAUAAUUUUCUGCCUGCUUUUGCUUUCACGGUGCCUUAAAUUUCAAGGUGACGGAUAGUCAAGCAAGGACAGUACUAAAUGCUAAUGCUAUUAAUAUUAUAGAAUACAAUUGAUCCUUACGGUUUUGAAAUUUUGACGUAACUUACGGGAAAAAAAGGGAAAGUUUAAUAUCUGAAUGAAUCUAACAUCUGGAUGCUAGCAGGAAGGCCAAAUUGAAGGUGAUGUCACGCGCACUUUUCUAUUGAUUAUUCGUAUUUAAAACAUUGCUUUAUAUAGUUUUGUCAAACGGCUAGGUGCAACUACUACUUUUGGAUUUUUCUCUGUAUUGACCCCACUAGAAAUAAUGAAAAGAAAAUUUAAUCAUGUUUAAUUUUUUUGCUUA